GGGAAGGUAGCUCAGCCUGGGAGAGCGCUACGCUGAAGACGUAGAUGUCGUGGGUUCAAAUCCCACUCUUCCCA
rnacentral:tRNA from 1 species